GCUACCAAACUUCCUCUAUAAAUAAAGGAAGCAGAAGACCCUCAAGUAAAUUAUUCGAUAGACUCAGUUAUCUCUCUAAGCUCUCUUCUAUCUUCCACUAUUCUCUGAAUUCCAAUUGAAUUGAGCGUUGGAGGAUCCCCAUAGAAAAAACUUCGAUAAGAGGACUUUGUUUCAAGUGCUUCUUUCAACUAAGAGCAGCAACAAUCAUAAUCUUGAGCCCCAUAUAGCACAUUAGAAGUUAACUGAUCUCAUUAUCACUUCGACCUACUGACAUAAGAGUUCAAUAGCAAUUGUUUAGCACUAAAGGAAGGGUG
rnacentral:lncRNA from 1 species